AAAUAGAUGAGAAAAGUGAGAAAGUGGGUAGAGGGAAAAUGACAAAAAUGAUGUCAAUGCUCUCUCGUCAUCCUCUCUCUUUAUCCUCUUCAUCUUCUCAAGUUUCUUCUCUCUUCAAAUUCUGGUGAAUAUUUUGUUGCUCAGAUCUUUAAUAUGAACAUGCUCAACUACUUCGAGCCUUUUGAUUCUUUGGCGGUGGAGGCGGCGGAUUUUUUAGGGUUCCGUUUUGGCGGUCGUGGUAGCGGCGACUCCUUCAAUUCAACCCAAUUCAACAGCUUCUACAAUCAUCCGAGAUCAGCUCGCUAAAUUCUGAGGUUUUUGAAGGGUUUCGUCUGUUGAUGGUGGCGGCACCUUCUUGCGAGCCUUAUUCCGACCUAUGCACCCUUCUCCAGGUUCAUUGUGAAGUUCUUCUCCAUCAAUCAAGGGUUUUGUAUGGCGGUGGUCGCGGCAGAUUUUGCAGCAGCAGAAGGAAGACUAACUCAGUUUCAAUUUGCACAAUUUGUUGAAGACUAAAAUCGUUGGCUUCAUCUUCUUUUGUUGAGUUUUCCUGAGUUAGUGUAUUAUUGUAAAAAAAAGUGGGCUGGUUUAUCAUGUAAGAAGAACGUAUGUAGGGUUUGAGCUCAUCAAAGGUCAGUCUUUCUUCUGGCAGUGGCGGCGGAUUUUGCAGCAGUGGAGAUAUUGCAAUUGACAAUAUCUGCUACCUAAUAUCUGCUACCUAUGUCUAUGUCUCUUUAAAAAGAUGAAAGUAUCUGAUUUGUGAAGGCCUUAGUGGAGCAAAGAAGAGCUUCAGCGUUUCUAUGAGGCAUAUCGCAAGUAUGGUAAUGAUUGGAAGAAGGUUGGCAUAACAUUUUUGCAUUUCCUUUGAAUUUUCUAAUUUUUUAAUGUUUAUGUUUGGUUCUAAUGGGACAAUUAUACUUGUGUUUUAGUUUCUGUUAUUAAAUUGGUGAGUAACGAUUCUCCCCUUCUAACGAUUGAAUAGCUCUGUCAAUAAAUCUUGGUAAUACCAUAUUGUAACCGGGAAAAUUUGACAUGUUCUGUAGUUUCUGUUAUGAAGUUGGUUAGCCAUUUUGGGGUUCUCAUUACCUUUUUUUCGUCUUGUUUUUGUUUAUUUGAAGUGUGAUGAAGUUGAUGUUGAUUUUUUCAACACAGCAAUAUACUUGUAUAUAUUGAUUGCAUUGUCACAAGUACAGUGAUUAAUGAAUUGUUGUUGAACAAUCCUAGCAUUUAUAUCAAGUUUAUUAGCUUCUUUGAAGUUGCAGUUAACAUUAGUGUAAUAAUAUAGCAUUCUUUUUGCAAAAUAAAUCAGUUUAAUGCUAAUUAGUUGAAGAAAGCUGGCUUUUUUAAUUAAAUUCAUUGGUUGAUGAUUUUUCAUGGUAAUUUGUUUGGGUUUUCAUUUAUCUAUUUAUUAUUAAUUUGUAGUGUAAAUUGAUGGUGAUCAUCAAGUGUUGAUUAGUUUUUUUUUUGUGAUUUAUAAUCUGGAUUUCACAUAUUAUGAAACGCAAUUGAAUUUAAGAGAGAUAAUUUGGUGCACUAAAAGGAAUAAAUACCGAAAUGGGACUGCAUUGUUAUCUGGUGCAAGAGGAUUUUUUAGGUAUCCAUUAUCGCAAAUGCAUAUUUUGUAAUGUGAUCGAAUAUAGUAAGACUAUAAAUUUAUGAUGAUCAUCAAAUGCUAAUUAUUUGUCUAUGAUUUGUAACCAGGAAUUCACUUUGUAUGAAAAGCAAUUAAACUAGAAACUUAAUUUGAUGCAUUGAAGAUAAUUAAGUUGUUCAUUAUAUACAAAUAACCGCGGUGUUUGUUGCAGGAAGGAGGUAAAUAAAUAUUGAAAUGGGACUGUUGUUAUUGAAUCAAUAAAGUGCAGUAUACAAUAUGUCAUGACUCAUAAUCCCUCCUCAUCUUUCCUUAAGUAUUCUGUACAUAUGAGCAUGAUCAAUUGAUCAUAUUUUCCAUUAACUUGUUCAUAAUGUUUGUUAUAGUGUAUUGUUGAAAUUGAGCCAGUGUGCUAUAUGGAUAAUGAAAUAGCCCAUGAUCAUCUCAUUGAUUAUAUGGUUGGUGACGCUUUCUUGUAGUUUCCUUUGAAUCUUAUGUGCUGCAAAUUCUGUGCAAACUUCUUUAACAUUUUAAAGGUAAGUUUUCAACUUUAUUGCUUUUAGUUUAUGUUGGAAGCUAUGAUUGUAGCUAUUGUAUUUAAAUUGUAACUUUUUUUUUUAUUAUUGAAAUUCCAGAUUCUCUAUUAUUUUUAAAUUUUUCUUAUUGUUGCUAUGGUAUGGACCCACAUGGCAACGCACCUGCCGUACCAUAGAUCGUUAUGUACACCAGAAGGAGCAAGCAGCAGCAGCACCAAGGAGGCAGCAAUACAUAGAGAGCAAAACAGCAGCAGAACCAAGAAGCAGAAGACAGAACAUCAACUAAAGACAGCACACCUUUUGCACUAUUGUAUUAGUUACCUUUUUAGUGUUAGUCAUCUUAGGUUCUAUCAAAAGGCAAGUUGACUUAGGAAGUGCACCUUUAUUAAUCAUGUAUUUAGAGAAGGGAAAGGAGAAAAGGGAAGGCAACCAAAAAAUAGAUAUUCAGUUAGAGAAUUGUAGCUAUUAGGGAGAUUGAUAGCCUCAAGCUAUAUUGAACUUUUGUAAUCUGUUGCCAUUGAUAAUCAAAUACCAACUCCUACUUCUGCCUAA